rnacentral:rRNA from 1 species
GUGAACGCUGGCGGUAGGCCUAACACAUGCAAGUCGAACGGCAGCACAGUAAGAGCUUGCUCUUACGGGUGGCGAGUGGCGGACGGGUGAGGAAUACAUCGGAAUCUACUUUUUCGUGGGGGAUAACGUAGGGAAACUUACGCUAAUACCGCAUACGACCUACGGGUGAAAGCAGGGGAUCUUCGGACCUUGCGCGAUUGAAUGAGCCGAUGUCGGAUUAGCUAGUUGGCGGGGUAAAGGCCCACCAAGACGACGAUCCGUAGCUGGUCUGAGAGGAUGAUCAGCCACACUGGAACUGAGACACGGUCCAGACUCCUACGGGAGGCAGCAGUGGGGAAUAUUGGACAAUGGGCGCAAGCCUGAUCCAGCCAUACCGCGUGGGUGAAGAAGGCCUUCGGGUUGUAAAGCCCUUUUGUUGGGAAAGAAAAGCAGCAGGUUAAUACCCCGCUGUUCUGACGGUACCCAAAGAAUAAGCACCGGCUAACUUCGUG